AACGAACGCUGGCGGCAUGCCUAACACAUGCAAGUCGAACGAAGGCUUCGGCCUUAGUGGCGCACGGGUGCGUAACGCGUGGGAAUCUGCCCUUAGGUACGGAAUAACUCAGGGAAACUUGAGCUAAUACCGUAUAAUGACUCCGGUCCAAAGAUUUAUCGCCUAAGGAUGAGCCCGCGUAGGAUUAGCUAGUUGGUGAGGUAAAGGCUCACCAAGGCGACGAUCCUUAGCUGGUCUGAGAGGAUGAUCAGCCACACUGGGACUGAGACACGGCCCAGACUCCUACGGGAGGCAGCAGUGGGGAAUAUUGGACAAUGGGCGAAAGCCUGAUCCAGCAAUGCCGCGUGAGUGAUGAAGGCCUUAGGGUUGUAAAGCUCUUUCACCCGGGAUGAUAAUGACAGUACCGGGAGAAUAAGCCCCGGCUAACUCCGUGCCAGCAGCCGCCGUAAGAC
rnacentral:rRNA from 1 species